AACAAACGCUGGCGGCGUGCCUAAUACAUGCAAGUCGAACGGGGAAAGCUUUCGGGUGAGUACUAGUGGCGCACGGGUGAGUAACGCGUGGAUAAUCUGCCUUAGAGUGGGGGAUAACUAGUCGAAAGAUUAGCUAAUACCGCAUAAGACCACAAGAACUGCGGUUCAAGGGGUCAAAGGUUUUUCGUUCUAAGAUGAGUCCGCGUAAGAUUAGCUAGUUGGUAGGGUAACGGCCUACCAAGGCGACGAUCUUUAACUGGUCUGAGAGGAUGAUCAGUCACACUGGAACUGAGACACGGUCCAGACUCCUACGGGAGGCAGCAGUAGGGAAUAUUGCACAAUGGAGGAAACUCUGAUGCAGCGACGCCGCGUGAGUGAUGAAGGCCUUCGGGUCGUAAAGCUCUGUCGCAGGGGAAUAACACAAUGAAGGUACCCUGUAAGAAAGGAUCGGCUAACUUCGUGCCAGCAGCCGCAGUAAAAC
rnacentral:rRNA from 1 species